GGGUGCGAUCAUACCAGCAUUAAUGCACCG
rnacentral:rRNA from 2 species